rnacentral:rRNA from 1 species
CAGCCGCCGCGGGAAUACGAAGGGUGCAAGCGUUAAUCGGAAUUACUGGGCGUAAAGCGUGCGUAGGCGGUGAGUUAAGUCUGCUGUGAAAUCCCCGGGCUCAACCUGGGAAUGGCAGUGGAUACUGGCUCGCUAGAGUGUGUCAGAGGAUGGUGGAAUUCCCGGUGUAGCGGUGAAAUGCGUAGAGAUCGGGAGGAACAUCAGUGGCGAAGGCGGCCAUCUGGGACAACACUGACGCUGAGGCACGAAAGCGUGGGGAGCAAACAGGAUUAGAUACCCCAGUAGUCCCUGUCUCUUAUAU